UUAUUAUUAUUAUUAUUAUUAUUAUUAUUAUUAUGGCUUAAUUUAAAGUUUAAACAACCAAUUUUCACUCUUCAAACAACAGCGUUCUUCUGUUUUGUUUUUGUUUUUUUUUUUCAUUUUUAUCCAAUUUUUAGGUUUAGGGUUUUAGGAUUUUUGAGUUUACUUCUAGAAGAGAUGGUGGCGGUUUUAUUUGUGUGAUGGUGUAGCAAUGGAUACGGUAAACCAGCGGGGACUGCUAGCGAGACCGUAUGGAGAUGAAGAUGAUGAUGGGGUAUUUGAGGCAAAAGACAUUAACGGAGCUCACGAGAUGGCCAUGAAUGGAGUGGUGAGUUUAGUAAGCCGCCAUGGGAAUGGAGUUGGAGGAGGAGGCGGUUUUCAUACGACUCGAACCAGUGAACUCACCAUCGCUUUUGAGGGCGAGGUCUAUAUCUUCCCUGCAGUUGCUUCGGAAAAGAUUUCACAGGUGCAAGCAGUUUUAUUACUACUGGGAGUACAUGAUGCAUCAAUUAAUGUGCCCAGCUCAGCAUUUCUACAAGAAGAAAAGCUCAAGGUUGUAGUUGAUUCUUCACGAGGCUUGGAGUUUUCACAAAGAAUUGCCUCCCUAUUACGAUUCCGUGAAAAGAGGAAAGAGAGAUGCUUUGAAAAGAAAAUUCAUUAUACUUGCCGAAAAGAGGUUGCUCAGAGUUUUCUAAGUGCACUUCAAAUUUGCUUGUCUGCUGGGAUGCAUUGUAAGAAUGGACAGUUUGCAUCAUUGAAGGAGUGCUACAACUCAGCUGAUGGAAGCAGUGAUCAAAUUUGCAUAGAUGUCAACAUUGUGGGGUAAGUGAAAAGUUAACUCCAGCAAUGCGUAGGGGGCCAGCUGGCCCCAUAACACUUUGCAAUGCUUGCGGCCUUAUGUGGGCAAACAAAGUAUGUGUAGAAUGGUUGUAAGUUGCUAUAGUUUAAGCUUCUUUUCUCAGUUACUUAUAAUUAUUUUUUGAUGACAUAAUUAUGUAUGGUUGGAGACAUUCAAACUUGAAUUUCAUUUGGUUAAGAAGUUUUCGGAUUUUGACAGAUUUUGUUGGUUGGUGGGUGAUGAUACUUUUUUUGUAACACUUGUAGGUAUAAACUAUGACAAGUCUAACUUGAGAUAACCAUCUAUGUUACUGUCAUUAUUAGAUUUUCAAUUAUUUGAGGAUUGAUUUUCCUUCUAUUGGGAGGAGUCUACUUUCUUACCUUCUUCGUAUCUGUUCUGGACACAACAUUCAUUUAAAUUAUCAUUGGAUACAGGCUAGUGUACCAAUGUGGCUACUGUUGAUUUAAUAUGGCUAAUUAGAUUAUGACAUUAUUUUAAAGAAAGAGUGGACUGUUGAAAGUAUGGCCAAAGUUACGAGUACUCUUGGCUCUAAUAGUGCACUUGAUAUGCAAUUAGAUGGUGCUGAUUGGUAGUUUUGGAAAGGGAAGAAAAUGGAUAAAACAUACAUGUGGAUAAAUUUGUGAAAACACAUGAACUUACAUGCUCUUCUCCCCAUAGAGGAGGAAUUGAGGUAAAUUGCAGUGGCUCUGCUCUACAUUUCUUAUCGAAUCUCUUUAGCAUGAUAACUUCGUUUUGUAAUUGACCUGGAUCUUUCCCCAUACUGAAUUUCCUACUAUGCAGUAGGAGCUUUCCUUCUCAAGUAGAUGCUUCAGUAUCCAUAAAGUUAAUACGAGUCUUUUUGGGCAGCUUACCAUGUUGUUCUUUAUAUUUUUUAUUUCAAGGGAACACUGAGAGAUCUUAGAAAAGAAGGGGGGAAUGCUCACUUUGAUCCAAAUGAGCUGGUAUGUAUAUGGAGAUACUGAUGUGUUCUUGUUCACUACCAUAGGUUUAAAAUUCUUCACUUAAUUUAACAAUCUAAUUUCAGUUGUAAUUAUUGUUCUUUUUAGUUGUGAACCAACUAGACAUUUUAUUCAUUUCAGAAAUAAGUCUCUUUAUCUCACAGGAAACUCCAACUGAUAUUAAGCCUUCAACCAUGGAACCAGAAAAUUCUUUUGCCAAGGAUGAUGAGCAGUUAUUGGUCUCCUUUGAUCAGUUACGACAAACAUGAAUCUAAAAUAUUUUCAAGUAUGGAGUUUGAUGAUGCACUAAGCUUUAUGCAUUUACCUUUAGCUAGGUUUUUUGUUGGUUGUCCCAUCUAAUGUACUUUUGUUUCAUCAAUAGAAGCAUUGUUAACUGUGAAACACAGACCAUUGAUGCUUCAUCCUGGCAUGGCUCUAGGGACUUUCCAUUUUCUAUCAUCAGGGAAGCCCAGAGGAGACCAAACCUGUACCUUUGGAUUCUGAAAAUGAUUUGAUAAGAUCUAACAGGCAGUAGUGACAAUCAAAGUGAGUUCUUUAUAAGCCAUAUUAUGUUGUCUUCUUGCUGCACACGCUGCAGAGGUUCAAUAGCUCGAUUUUUCAGUUUGCAGGAAUUUGCAGCAAAUUCACAUCCUUUCCCCAUCCAAGGGGAGUAUUCCUCGGUCAACCUUGAUGAUGAGGUAUUGUGUUGGUUACAAGCAAUUUAUUUUAUUUUAUUUUCUUGUUUUGGCCAAAGGAAGCAAUUUUAGUUUAAUGGGUUUGAUGGCAACGAUGUAUUAGCUUUGAUGUUAAGUAGUAAUAUCGUUCUCUUAAAUAAUUGCAUAAGGGAGAGAUUAUGUCUCCUUUUGUGCUGAACAUUCGUGAGGAGCUCUCAAAGGCGUACUUUACUCUCCAAGUAAGUUUGUCUACAUGCAUCAGGACA